GAGCGCCGUAUGAGGUGAAAGUCUCACGUACGGUGUGGACCGGGGGAAAAGUCAAUCUUAACAGGUAGUGCUGAAGAAUUGGCUUACCUAUCGGUAU
rnacentral:ncRNA from 2 species